rnacentral:rRNA from 1 species
UCCAGACUCCUACGGGAGGCAGCAGUGGGGGAUAUUGCACAAUGGGGGGAACCCUGAUGCAGCGACGCCGCGUGGGUGAAGGAGCGUUUCGGCGCGUAAAGCCCUAUCGGCAGGGAAGAAGGAGGACGGUACCUGACUAAGAAGCCCCGGCUAACUACGUGCCAGCAGCCGCGGUAAUACGUAGGGGGCAAGCGUUAUCCGGAUUUACUGGGUGUAAAGGGGGCGCAGACGGCAGCGCAAGCCAGGAGUGAAAGCCCGGGGCCCAACCCCGGGACUGCUCUUGGAACUGCGCGGCUGGAGUGCAGGAGGGGCAGGCGGAAUUCCUGGUGUAGCGGUGAAAUGCGUAGAUAUCAGGAGGAACACCGGUGGCGAAGGCGGCCUGCUGGACUGCGACUGACGUUGAGGCCCGAAAGCGUGGGGAGCAAACAGGAUUAGAUACCCUGGUAUC